rnacentral:rRNA from 1 species
AUUGAACGCUGGCGGCAGGCCUAACACAUGCAAGUCGAACGAGUGGCGGACGGGUGAGUAAUGUCUGGGAAACUGCCUGAUGGAGGGGGAUAACUACUGGAAACGGUAGCUAAUACCGCAUACCAUCGGAUGUGCCCAGAUGGGAUUAGCUGGUGGGUGGGGUAAAGGCUAACCUAGGCGCCGAUCCCUAGCUGGUCUGAGAGGAUGACCAUCCACACUGGAACGGAGACACGGUCCAGACUCCUACGGGAGGCAGCAGUGGGGAAUAUUGCAAAAUGGGCGCAAGCCUGAUGCAGCCAUUCCGCGUGUAUGAAGAAGGCCUUCGGGUUGUAAAGUACUUUCAGCGGGGAGGCGUUACCCGCAGAAGAAGCACCGGCUAACUCCGUGCCAGCAGCCGCGGUAAGAC